rnacentral:rRNA from 1 species
AUUGAACGCUGGCGGCAUGCUUUACACAUGCAAGUCGAACGGUAACAGGCCGCAAGGUUCUGACGAGUGGCGAACGGGUGAGUAAUGCAUCGGAACGUGCCCAGUCGUGGGGGAUAACUACUCGUAAGAGUAGCUAAUACCGCAUACGAUCUAUGGUUGAAAGCGGGGGACCGUAAGGCCUCGCGCGAUUGGAGCGGCCUAUGUCAGAUUAGGUAGUUGGUGGGGUAAAGGCUCACCAAGCCAACGAUCUGUAGCUGUUGUGAGAGUACGACCAGCCACACUGGGACUGAGACACGGACCAGACUCCUACGGGAGGCAGCAGUGGGGAAUUGUGGACAAUGGGCGCAAGCCUGAUCCAGCAAUGCGGCGUGCAGGAAGAAGGCCUUCGGGUUGUAAACUGCUUUUGUACGGAACGAAACGGCUCUGGUUAAUACCCGGGGCUAAUGACGGUACCGGAAGAAUAAGCACCGGCUAACUACGUG